GAUGAACGCUGGCGGCGUGCCUAAUACAUGCAAGUCGAGCGAACAGACGAGGAGCUUGCUCCUCUGACGUUAGCGGCGGACGGGUGAGUAACACGUGGAUAACCUACCUAUAAGACUGGGAUAACUUCGGGAAACCGGAGCUAAUACCGGAUAAUAUAUUGAACCGCAUGGUUCAAUAGUGAAAGACGGUUUUGCUGUCACUUAUAGAUGGAUCCGCGCCGCAUUAGCUAGUUGGUAAGGUAACGGCUUACCAAGGCAACGAUGCGUAGCCGACCUGAGAGGAUGAUCGGCCACACUGGAACUGAGACACGGUCCAGACUCCUACGGGAGGCAGCAGUGGGGAAUAUUGGACAAUGGGCGAAAGCCUGAUCCAGCCAUGCCGCGUGAGUGAUGAAGGUCUUCGGAUCGUAAAGCUCUGUUGUUGGGAAAGAAAAGCUGUGUAUGUAUCUAUGGACGUCCUGACGGUACCUAAUGAGAAAGCACCGGCUAACUUCGUG
rnacentral:rRNA from 1 species